AACGAACGCUGGCGGCGUGCCUAACACAUGCAAGUCGAACGGAUUUGAGGGGCUUGCUCCUCAAGUUAGUGGCGCACGGGUGAGUAACGCGUGGAUCAUCUACCCAAUGCUCAGGGAUAACAUCUCGAAAGGGGUGCUAAUACCUGAUAAGCCAACGGGCUCUUCGGAGUUUGCGGGAUAAGGGGGGGAGCUUCGGGUCGCCCGGCAUUGGAUGAGUGCGCGCCCCAUUAGCUAGUUGGUGGGGUAAAGGCCUACCAAGGCGACGAUGGGUAGCUGGUCUGAGAGGAUGAUCAGCCACACUGGAACUGAGACACGGUCCAGACUCCUACGGGAGGCAGCAGUGGGGAAUUUUGCGCAAUGGGGGAAACCCUGACGCAGCAACGCCGCGUGAGUGAUGAAGGCCUUUGGGUCGUAAAGCUCUGUCAGAGGGAAAGAAAUGUGGGUGGUUAAUAGCCGUUCCACUUGACGGUACCCUCAAAGGAAGCACCGGCUAACUCCGUGCCAGCAGCCGCGGUAACAC
rnacentral:rRNA from 1 species